rnacentral:rRNA from 1 species
UACGGAGGGUGCAAGCGUUAUCCGGAUUUACUGGGUUUAAAGGGUGCGUAGGUGGGUAGGUAAGUCAGUGGUGAAAUCUUCGAGCUUAACUCGGAAACUGCCAUUGAUACUAUCUGUCUUGAAUACUUUGGAGGUAAGCGGAAUAUGUCAUGUAGCGGUGAAAUGCUUAGAUAUGACAUAGAACACCAAUUGCGAAGGCAGCUUACUACACAGUUAUUGACACUGAGGCACGAAAGCGUGGGGAUCAAACAGG